GUAAAUUUACCGAAGCCCAGUUUGAAACGCUGACCGAAUGGAUGGACUGGUCUCUGGCAGACCGCGGUGUCGACCUCGACGGUAUCUACUAUUGCCCGCAUCACCCGCAGGGUGCGGUUGAGGAGUACCGCCAGACCUGUGAUUGUCGUAAACCGCAUCCGGGGAUGCUGAUUUCCGCCCGCGACUAUCUGCAUAUCGAUAUGGCUGCUUCUUAUAUGGUAGGGGACAAACUGGAAGAUAUGCAGGCGGCAGCGGCUGCGGAUGUCGGGACUAAAGUACUGGUGCGCACCGGUAAGCCCCUGACUGAAGAAGCGGAAAAAGCGGCGGAUUGGGUGCUAAAUAGCCUGGCAGAGCUGCCGGCGGCGAUUAAAAAGCAGCAAAAAUAAGCGUUGCGUUUAAAAGAUGAGCGGUUGAAAUAAAAUUGUAUUUUUCCGCUUGUCAUUCCCGGAGAGCACCCUAUAAUGCGCCUCCAUCGACACGGCGGAUGUGAAUCACUUCACACAAACAGCCGGUUCGGUUGCAGAGAAAAAUCCUGAAAAACGGGUUGACUCUGAAAGAGGAAAGCGUAAUAUACGCCACCUCGCGACAGAGCGCUAAAGCGCGUCGCAACUGCUCUUUAACAAUUUAUCAGACAAUCUGUGUGGGCACUCAAAGUGACAUGGAUUCUUAACGUCCUCGGACGAAAAAUGAAUACCAAGUCUCAAGAGUGAACACGUAAUUCAUUACGAAGUUUAAUUCUUUGAGCAUCAAACUUAAAUUGAAGAGUUUGAUCAUGGCUCAGAUUGAACGCUGGCGGCAGGCCUAACACAUGCAAGUCGAGCGGUAGCACAGAGAGCUUGCUCUCGGGUGACGAGCGGCGGACGGGUGAGUAAUGUCUGGGAAACUGCCUGAUGGAGGGGGAUAACUACUGGAAACGGUAGCUAAUACCGCAUAANCGAUUGACGUUACCCGCAGAAGAAGCACCGGCUAACUCCGUGCCAGCAGCCGCGGUAAUACGGAGGGUGCAAGCGUUAAUCGGAAUUACUGGGCGUAAAGCGCACGCAGGCGGUCUGUCAAGUCGGAUGUGAAAUCCCCGGGCUCAACCUGGGAACUGCAUUCGAAACUGGCAGGCUAGAGUCUUGUAGAGGGGGGUAGAAUUCCAGGUGUAGCGGUGAAAUGCGUAGAGAUCUGGAGGAAUACCGGUGGCGAAGGCGGCCCCCUGGACAAAGACUGACGCUCAGGUGCGAAAGCGUGGGGAGCAAACAGGAUUAGAUACCCUGGUAGUCCACGCCGUAAACGAUGUCGAUUUGGAGGUUGUGCCCUUGAGGCGUGGCUUCCGGAGCUAACGCGUUAAAUCGACCGCCUGGGGAGUACGGCCGCAAGGUUAAAACUCAAAUGAAUUGACGGGGGCCCGCACAAGCGGUGGAGCAUGUGGUUUAAUUCGAUGCAACGCGAAGAACCUUACCUGGUCUUGACAUCCACAGAACUUNUUGGUGCCUUCGGGAACUGUGAGACAGGUGCUGCAUGGCUGUCGUCAGCUCGUGUUGUGAAAUGUUGGGUUAAGUCCCGCAACGAGCGCAACCCUUAUCCUUUGUUGCCAGCGGUUAGGCCGGGAACUCAAAGGAGACUGCCAGUGAUAAACUGGAGGAAGGUGGGGAUGACGUCAAGUCAUCAUGGCCCUUACGACCAGGGCUACACACGUGCUACAAUGGCAUAUACAAAGAGAAGCGACCUCGCGAGAGCAAGCGGACCUCAUAAAGUAUGUCGUAGUCCGGAUUGGAGUCUGCAACUCGACUCCAUGAAGUCGGAAUCGCUAGUAAUCGUAGAUCAGAAUGCUACGGUGAAUACGUUCCCGGGCCUUGUACACACCGCCCGUCACACCAUGGGAGUGGGUUGCAAAAGAAGUAGGUAGCUUAACCUUCGGGAGGGCGCUUACCACUUUGUGAUUCAUGACUGGGGUGAAGUCGUAACAAGGUAACCGUAGGGGAACCUGCGGUUGGAUCACCU
rnacentral:rRNA from 1 species